rnacentral:rRNA from 1 species
UACAGAGGUCUCAAGCGUUGCUCGGAAUCACUGGGCGUAAAGCGCACGUAGGCGGCUUUUUAAGUCAGGGGUGAAAUCCUGGAGCUCAACUCCAGAACUGCCUUUGAUACUGAGAAGCUUGAGUCCGGGAGAGGUGAGUGGAACUGCGAGUGUAGAGGUGAAAUUCGUAGAUAUUCGCAAGAACACCAGUGGCGAAGGCGGCUCACUGGCCCGGUACUGACGCUGAGGUGCAAAAGCGUGGGGAGCAAACAGG